AUAAUGCACAACUCUAAUUAUAAAACAUAAAAUUUUGAAGUUUCAUUGUUUACAUGUAAAUAAUUUGUUUUAUCAAAAUUGUCCUUUUAAAAUAAAGAAUGUUUUAAGAAUAUAAUUGACAUUGAUAAAAUUUUCUAGGACAUCCAUUUCAAGAAAAUUAUAAAUACACAACUCUUAUUCAAUAUUAAAACAUAACAUUAAAGUUUCAAUUGUAUAUAUGUUCUAAAUGAUUUGAAUCAUUAUUAUUUUUUUAUAUAAAAAAGGACAUGGAUGCUUUUAUCUAGGAAAAUUAAUGAUGGACUUGAAUUCAUAGGAAAGUGAGUCAGGGAAAAUAAAUUACUAUAAACAUCAGACUAAAAAUACAAGAUAAUUCUGUAACAAUGGAUUUUUAAUGCUAGAAAUAUGUGUCGGCCCAGAUUUUAUUUUUAGAAAUAAAAACUCACUGUCCUAAAAUUCAAAAACAGUUAUGCAAAUGUGUCUUGACAAAUUAUUCCAUCCAUUGUGCACUCAAAUUCAAUUUAUAUAAACAGAAUUCCUUCAAGGAAUUGUGUACUAAGGGAGAUAAUCCCUACAAGAAAUAGAUUUAUCUCCCAUUAAUUGGUCAAAUUGUUGGUUACAAUAUUAA
rnacentral:lncRNA from 1 species